rnacentral:rRNA from 1 species
AUGUGCGGGUGCGCGGAGGCGCUCGUGAGGGCGGUGGUGGCCUUCUUCGACGCCUUCCUCGUUGACUGCUUCCUCUUCUGGUUCCGCCGCCGCCGCCCCCGCCUCCGCCCUCCGGGUAAGCCAACCCUACCUCUGAUCCGCUCGUGCCCAAGGACUGGGCAGGGGAGGCGCUCCCGGCCUCGGACGAAGAGAAAGGUGCCCUGGGUUUCUCGGUCAGAUUUGUGA